rnacentral:rRNA from 1 species
UACAGAGGUCCCGAGCGUUGUUCGGAUUCAUUGGGCGUAAAGGGUGCGUAGGUGGCGCUGUAAGUGGGGUGUGAAAUCCCGGGGCUAACCCCGGGACUGCAUUCCAUACUGCGGUGCUUGAGGACUGGAGAGGAGACUGGAAUUUACGGGUGUAGCAGUGAAAUGCGUAGAGAAUCGUAAGGAAGACCAGUGGCGAAGGCGGGUCUCUGGACAGUUCCUG